UACAGAGGGUGCGAGCGUUAAUCGGAAUUACUGGGCGUAAAGCGUGCGCAGACGGUUGCGUAAGUCAGAUGUGAAAUUCCCCGGGCUUAACCUGGGGGCUGCAUUUGAUACGUGUGAUCUAGAGUGAGGAAGAGGGUCGUGGAAUUCCCAGUGUAGAGGUGAAAUUCGUAGAUAUUGGGAAGAACACCGGUGGGCGAAAGGCGGCGACCUGGUCCUUGACUGACGCUGAGGCGCGAAAGCGUGGGGAGCAAACAGG
rnacentral:rRNA from 1 species